rnacentral:lncRNA from 1 species
CGGACGAAACUUCUUUUUAGGAGGGGUGAAUGUAGUAUCCUGAACUUUGCAAAAAUUGUGAAGUUGGGAAGUGGGGUUGAGAAGUGGCUUGUACCCACAGGUUUUAUUGUUUGUAAAGGUGUUUUGGGCCAAUUUUGAGAGCUAUUAGACUUUUGGAUACAAGAAAGUGCGUCGUCGAAGCGAUUUCUGAACUUAUUGCAUUAUAGUAUACUGAACUUCAGCAAAUUGCGAAGUUCGAGUGAGGAAUGCUAUUUGGAACCCUCCCACAUGUUCUAAAAGGUUAAAAAUUGUUUACACAUAAGUUUGAGCGUGAUUGGAAUGUCGGAAACAAGAUAGUGCAUUGCUCGGGCGAAAAUCAGCAUUUUCUGCUUGGUGUACCGGUACAGCCAUUAUGGUGUACCGGUACACAAUGCAGAAACGUGGCAGCUUGGGCUUUUUGGUAAUUUCACAUCUUAACCCUAUCUAUUUGAACCCAGCACGUCUCUGGGAGCUUGCUGGAUGAUGCUAGAGCUCAGAGAAUGGUCUUUGCACCAUCCUCACUUUCUCUCUCUAGGGUUUCUCUCUCUACGAGUAAAAGUCGCCGUUUUGCGCCGAUUUCGCGCCGCUCUCGUCGCUCGCUGGUUCGGUGGACUUGGGGCCAGCUUUUAAGAGGUAAAGGGAGGUGUUUUGACAGUGUUUUUCAUGUCUAUUACUGAGAGUUGCUGAACGGGGACUUUAGAGAAGUAGUUA